UACGAAGGGGGCUAGCGUUGCUCGGAAUCACUGGGCGUAAAGCGCACGUAGGCGGCUUUUUAAGUCAGGGGUGAAAUCCUGGAGCUCAACUCCAGAACUGCCUUUGAUACUGAGAGGCUCGAGUCCGGGAGAGGUGAGUGGAACUGCGAGUGUAGAGGUGAAAUUCGUAGAUAUUCGCAAGAACACCAGUGGCGAAGGCGGCGCUCUAGUACGGUACUGACGCUGAGACGCGAAAGCGUGGGGAGCGAACAGG
rnacentral:rRNA from 1 species